rnacentral:rRNA from 1 species
GUUAUAUGGUCAAGCGAAUAAGCGCACACGGUGGAUGCCUUGGCGGUCAGAGGCGAUGAAGGACGUGGCAGCCUGCGAAAAGUAUCGGGGAGCUGGCAACAAGCUUUGAUCCGGUAAUGUCCGAAUGGGGAAACCCACCCGCUUGCGGGUAUCCUGCAGUGAAUACAUAGCUGCUGGAAGCGAACCUGGUGAACUGAAAUAUCUAAGUAACCAGAGGAAAAGAAAUCAACCGAGAUUCCGUAAGUAGCGACGAGCGAAC